rnacentral:rRNA from 1 species
GGGCCCGCACAAGCGGUGGAGUAUGUGGUUUAAUUCGAUGCAACGCGAAGAACCUUACCAGGGUUUGACAUCCUGCGAAUCUCUUGGAAACGAGAGAGUGCCUUCGGGAGCGCAGUGACAGGUGGUGCAUGGCUGUCGUCAGCUCGUGUCGUGAGAUGUUGGGUUAAGUCCCGCAACGAGCGCAACCCACGUCUUUAGUUGCCAGCAUUUAGUUGGGCACUCUAGAGAGACCGCCGGUGAUAAACCGGAGGAAGGUGUGGAUGACGUCAAGUCAUCAUGGCCCUUACGACCAGGGCUACACACGUGCUACAAUGGGUAUUACAGAGGGCUGCGAAGGUGCGAGCUGGAGCGAAACUCAGAAAGGUACUCUUAGUCCGGAUUGCAGUCUGCAACUCGACUGCAUGAAGUCGGAAUCGCUAGUAAUCGCAGGUC